GAUGAACGCUAGCGGCAGGCCUAAUACAUGCAAGCCGAACGGCAAGUUUGAUAGCAAUAUUGGACCUAGAGUGGCGCAAGGGUGCGUAACACGUAUGCAACCUGCCCGCGACAGGAGGAUAGCUCCCCGAAAGGGGAAUUAACCCUCCAUAACACCAUGAGAAGGCAUCUGAUUAUGGUUAAACCGCAAGGGGUCGCGGAUGGGCAUGCGGUUGAUUAGCUAGUUGGCGGGGUAAAGGCCCACCAAGGCGGUGAUCAAUAGGGGUUCUGAGAGGAAGGUCCCCCACACUGGCACUGGGAUACGGGCCAGACUCCUACGGGAGGCAGCAGUAGGGAAUAUUGGACAAUGGUUGCAAGACUGAUCCAGCCAUGCCGCGUGCAGGAAGAAGGCCUUCUGGGUCGUAAACUGCUUUUUCCUGUGGAUAAAAUACCCGGGCGCGGGGAAUUGAAGGUAACAGGGGAAUAAGCCACGGCUAACUACGUG
rnacentral:rRNA from 1 species